AGUGAACGCUGGCGGUAGGCCUAACACAUGCAAGUCGAACGGCAGCACAGUAAGAGCUUGCUCUUACGGGUGGCGAGUGGCGGACGGGUGAGGAAUACAUCGGAAUCUACUUUUUCGUGGGGGAUAACGUAGGGAAACUUACGCUAAUACCGCAUACGACCUACGGGUGAAAGCAGGGGAUCUUCGGACCUUGCGCGAUUGAAUGAGCCGAUGUCGGAUUAGCUAGUUGGCGGGGUAAAGGCCCACCAAGGCGACGAUCCGUAGCUGGUCUGAGAGGAUGAUCAGCCACACUGGAACUGGGACACGGUCCAGACUACUACGGGAGGCAGCAGUGGGGAAUAUUGGACAAUGGGCGCAAGCCUGAUCCAGCCAUACCGCGUGGGUGAAGAAGGCCUUCGGGUUGUAAAGACCUUUUGUUGGGAAAGAAAAGCAGCAGGUUAAUACCCCGCUGUUCUGACGGUACCCAAAGAAUAAGCACCGGCUAACUUCGUG
rnacentral:rRNA from 1 species